rnacentral:rRNA from 2 species
UUAAGCGACUAAGCGUACACGGUGGAUGCCCUGGCAGUCAGAGGCGAUGAAGGACGUGCUAAUCUGCGAAAAGCGUCGGUAAGGUGAUAUGAACCGUUACAGCCGGCGAUGUCCGAAUGGGGAAACCCAGUGCAAUUCGUUGCACUAUCGUUAACUGAAUACAUAGGUUAACGAGGCGAACCGGGGGAACUGAAACAUCUAAGUACCCCGAGGAAAAGAAAUCAACCGAGAUUCCCCCAGUAGCGGCGAGCGAACGGGGAGCAGCCCAGAGUCUGAAUCAGCUUGUGUGUUAGUGGAACGGUCUGGAAAGUCCGACGGUACAGGGUGAUAGUCCCGUACACCAAAAUGCACAGGUUGUGAACUCGAAGAGUAGGGCGGGACACGUGGUAUCCUGUCUGAAUAUGGGGGGACCAUCCUCCAAGGCUAAAUACUCCUGACUGACCGAUAGUGAACCAGUACCGUGAGGGAAAGGCGAAAAGAACCCCGGCGAGGGGAGUGAAAAAGAACCUGAAACCGUGUACGUACAAGCAGUGGGAGCACCUUCGGGUGUGACUGCGUACCUUUUGUAUAAUGGGUCAGCGACUUAUAUUCUGUAGCAAGGUUAACCGUAUAGGGGAGCCGCAGGGAAACCGAGUCUUAACUGGGCGUUAAGUUGCAGGGUAUAGACCCGAAACCCGGUGAUCUAGCCAUGGGCAGGUUGAAGGUUGGGUAACACUAACUGGAGGACCGAACCGACUAAUGUUGAAAAAUUAGCGGAUGACUUGUGGCUGGGGGUGAAAGGCCAAUCAAACCGGGAGAUAGCUGGUUCUCCCCGAAAGCUAUUUAGGUAGCGCCUCGUGAAUUCAUCUUCGGGGGUAGAGCACUGUUUCGGCUAGGGGGUCAUCCCGACUUACCAACCCGAUGCAAACUACGAAUACCGAAGAAUGUUAUCACGGGAGACACACGGCGGGUGCUAACGUCCGUCGUGAAGAGGGAAACAACCCAGACCGCCAGCUAAGGUCCCAAAGUCACAGUUAAGUGGGAAACGAUGUGGGAAGGCACAGACAGCCAGGAUGUUGGCUUAGAAGCAGCCAUCAUUUAAAGAAAGCGUAAUAGCUCACUGGUCGAGUCGGCCUGCGCGGAAGAUGUAACGGGGCUAAACUGUGCACCGAAGCUGCGGCAGCGACACUUAGGUGUUGUUGGGUAGGGGAGCGUUCUGUAAGCCUGCGAAGGUGGCCUGUGAGGGUUGCUGGAGGUAUCAGAAGUGCGAAUGCUGACAUAAGUAACGAUAAUGCGGGUGAAAAGCCCGCACGCCGGAAGACCAAGGGUUCCUGUCCAACGUUAAUCGGGGCAGGGUGAGUCGACCCCUAAGGCGAGGCCGAAAGGCGUAGUCGAUGGGAAACAGGUUAAUAUUCCUGUACUUGGUGUUACUGCGAAGGGGGGACGGAGAAGGCUAUGUUAGCCGGGCGACGGUUGUCCCGGUUUAAGCAUGUAGGCGGAGGUUCCAGGUAAAUCCGGUACCUUUUAACGCUGAGGUGUGAUGACGAGGCACUACGGUGCUGAAGUAACAAAUGCCCUGCUUCCAGGAAAAGCCUCUAAGCAUCAGGUAACAUUAAAUCGUACCCCAAACCGACACAGGUGGUCAGGUAGAGAAUACCAAGGCGCUUGAGAGAACUCGGGUGAAGGAACUAGGCAAAAUGGUGCCGUAACUUCGGGAGAAGGCACGCUGAUAUGUAGGUGAAGCCCCUGCGGGUGGAGCUGAAAUCAGUCGAAGAUACCAGCUGGCUGCAACUGUUUAUUAAAAACACAGCACUGUGCAAACACGAAAGUGGACGUAUACGGUGUGACGCCUGCCCGGUGCCGGAAGGUUAAUUGAUGGGGUUAUCCGUAAGGAGAAGCUCUUGAUCGAAGCCCCGGUAAACGGCGGCCGUAACUAUAACGGUCCUAAGGUAGCGAAAUUCCUUGUCGGGUAAGUUCCGACCUGCACGAAUGGCGUAAUGAUGGCCAGGCUGUCUCCACCCGAGACUCAGUGAAAUUGAACUCGCUGUGAAGAUGCAGUGUACCCGCGGCAAGACGGAAAGACCCCGUGAACCUUUACUAUAGCUUGACACUGAACAUUGAGCCUUGAUGUGUAGGAUAGGUGGGAGGCUUUGAAGCGUGGACGCCAGUCUGCGUGGAGCCAACCUUGAAAUACCACCCUUUAAUGUUUGAUGUUCUAACGUUGGCCCCUUAUCGGGGUUGCGGACAGUGUCUGGUGGGUAGUUUGACUGGGGCGGUCUCCUCCCAAAGAGUAACGGAGGAGCACGAAGGUUAGCUAAUCCUGGUCGGACAUCAGGAGGUUAGUGCAAUGGCAUAAGCUAGCUUGACUGCGAGCGUGACGGCGCGAGCAGGUGCGAAAGCAGGUCAUAGUGAUCCGGUGGUUCUGAAUGGAAGGGCCAUCGCUCAACGGAUAAAAGGUACUCCGGGGAUAACAGGCUGAUACCGCCCAAGAGUUCAUAUCGACGGCGGUGUUUGGCACCUCGAUGUCGGCUCAUCACAUCCUGGGGCUGAAGUAGGUCCCAAGGGUAUGGCUGUUCGCCAUUUAAAGUGGUACGCGAGCUGGGUUUAGAACGUCGUGAGACAGUUCGGUCCCUAUCUGCCGUGGGCGCUGGAGAAUUGAGGGGGGCUGCUCCUAGUACGAGAGGACCGGAGUGGACGCAUCACUGGUGUUCGGGUUGUCAUGCCAAUGGCAUUGCCCGGUAGCUAAAUGCGGAAGAGAUAAGUGCUGAAAGCAUCUAAGCACGAAACUUGCCCCGAGAUGAGUUCUCCCUGAGACUUUAAGUCUCCUGAAGGAACGUUAAAGACGAUGACGUUGAUAGGUCGGGUGUGUAAGCGUAGCGAUACGUUGAGCUAACCGAUACUAAUGAACCGUGAGGCUUAACCUU